CCUUCGGGGUACUCGAGCGGCGAACGGGUGAGUAACACGUGAGUAACCUGCCCCAGGCUUUGGGAUAACCCCGGGAAACCGGGGCUAAUACCGGAUAUGACUGGCUGCCGCAUGGUGGUUGGUGGAAAGAUUUUUUGGCUUGGGAUGGGCUCGCGGCCUAUCAGCUUGUUGGUGGGGUGAUGGCCUACCAAGGCGGCGACGGGUAGCCGGCCUGAGAGGGCGACCGGCCACACUGGGACUGAGACACGGCCCAGACUCCUACGGGAGGCAGCAGUGGGGAAUCUUGCACAAUGGGCGGAAGCCUGAUGCAGCGACGCCGCGUGAGGGAUGACGGCCUUCGGGUUGUAAACCUCUUUCAGCAGGGACGAAGCGUUUGUGACGGUACCUGCAGAAGAAGCGCCGGCCAACUACGUGCCAGCAGCCGCGGUAAGACGUAGGGCGCAAGCGUUGUCCGGAUUUAUUGGGCGUAAAGAGCUCGUAGGCGGCUUGUCGCGUCGACUGUGAAAACCCGUGGCUCAACUGCGGGCUUGCAGUCGAUACGGGCAGGCUAGAGUUCGGUAGGGGAGACUGGAAUUCCUGGUGUAGCGGUGAAAUGCGCAGAUAUCAGGAGGAACACCGGUGGCGAAGGCGGGUCUCUGGGCCGAUACUGACGCUGAGGAGCGAAAGCGUGGGGAGCGAACAGGAUUAGAUACCCUGGUAGUCCACGCUGUAAACGUUGGGCGCUAGGUGUGGGGAGCCUC
rnacentral:rRNA from 1 species